UGCUCUGUGCCCUGAGCAGUCCGCAGGGAGCCUCGCCAGCUCCGGGGGCCACUAUGUGGCUGUCCUGGAGGCUGGUACCACAGGAGCCAUAGAGGCACGUGCAAGAGAAACCACAGAUCAAGACUGCUUUAGGGCCUUGACGCCCUAAAGCAAAUGCUUGACGCCCACCAUGGCAACCCUGACAAGCGAGAGAGGGGCAUCUGCCAACAUCUGGAUUAGUUUGUCAGGCAUGAAAGGGGACCCACUGCAGAAAGGUAUUUCCAUCAGGAACCCAUCGCAUGAUUGGACACCACAGGAGCAGCAGAACUUCAAGAUCGAAAAGACAGUGGGAAGCAUUGUGCUAAGUUCUGACCAAAACAACUGUUGUCUCUACUUUCAUGGAUCUUGUGAUGAAACAGGAGAUAGUCAUGAAACCCACAAUCACACAGAUGACCACUGAAGCCGGUGUCCUUGAUGCAGUUCCAGGGGUUAAUAGCUGAAAUCAAGAUGUCACAGCUCAGCUGAUUUUUUCCAAUAAAGACCACAUUGUCUACAACCAUGGCAACUGAAGUCACCACUUGAUUAAACUUAGAUCUGCCAUUCUCCAAACUAGAGCCAACCUGUUCUCAGUGAAAGAAGCAAGUGAAAUGGGGAUAACAUAGAAAUCACUAUCCCUACAACUUAACUCUGGGUAACUCUUGGUAAGUGGCUAUGACACUCCAUUGUCAUAAUUAAAGCCAGGCUCUCAUUUGUCAUACCUGGGUCAUUUCU